rnacentral:rRNA from 1 species
GACGAAGGAUGCAAGCGUUAUCCGGAUUCAUUGGGUUUAAAGGGUGCGUAGGUGGCCUUAUAAGUCAGUGGUGAAAUCUCUCGGCUUAACCGAGAAAUUGCCAUUGAUACUGUAGGGCUUGAGUAUAGUUGCCGUUGGCGGAAUAUGACAUGUAGUGGUGAAAUACAUAGAGAUGUCAUAGAACACCGAUUGCGAAGGCAGCUAACGAAACUAUAACUGACACUGAGGCUCGAAAGUGCGGGGAUCAAACAGG